GUACAGAGGUCAAAUAUAAUUAGAUCACAUUGUACAGAAGUCAAAUAUAAUUAGAUCACGUUGUACAGAAGUCAAAUAUAAUUAGAUCACGUUGUACAGAGGUCAAAUAUAAUUAGAUCACGUUGUACAGAGGUCAAAUAUAAUUAGAUCACAUUGUACAGAGGUCAAAUAUAAUUAGAUCACGUUGUACAGAGGUCAAAUAUAAUUAGAUCACGUUGUACAGAGGUCAAAUAUAAUUAGAUCACGUUUAAGCAAAUGUAAACUCAAGCUUAUUGUGAUACAAACUGUGUCAAAACACAAUAUAUAAUAUAACCAGUUUGAUAUAAAAAUCUUGUGAAGCAUGGACAUCAGUUAAAACAAGUAAUUGCAAGAAAAACCGGAGAACUUUCGCUCAUAAUUUCUGAUUUUAAAUUACAUUCAAUACCCUUUUACCUGAUUUAUGCAAGAUUUCAAUCAUGAGCAGCUAUAUGAAGGUCAUUUUCAUGUUUAUGACCCCGCUUAGUGGCAGGCAUUUAGCAUUGCAAUCGUCUUUGAGACCAUGUUUCGAAACUUAAUUUCAAAUCAUCAAACUACUGGCUAAAACUUUCACAGUGGAAUAACCGUAAUGUUUAGAUGAUUUUAAAGAAAGGAAUUUUGUCUGGGUUUUGGCAAAUCAUGGCUCUAUGUCUGGUUUUCCACUAUAAAAUAAUAUUGUCCACUGGUGAAUUUGUCUGUUUCCAAAUCUAUUCAGAGAUUCAGUGUCUACGACAAUUUGUAGUUCUUUCUUUUUUGACCAUUGACAACAGAUGAACAACUUUUUCUCUUUAAUGGUUACCAAGUUUCAUGAUUUAAACAAGUGUACACGAUAUUAACAAAAAUGCAUAACAGAUAAAACAUUUCAAACAAAUAAAUUCAUUGAAUUGAUAUCCCCUUCCAAAUAAAGUUUGUUUAUGGAUAUAAAUUUGAUAUAUAGUAUAAUCCUAAACAAUAUUUAGGGUAAUGAUUUUAUGAUUGAAAUUCUCCUCAUUGAUAUCUAUACACCCAUGCAGUUUUAUACUGAAACUUGAAGCAUAUCCAAGAUAUAGCUCUGAAAAGUUACACAAUACAAACGCAACAAAGGACAAUAUUUCUUAUUUAAGAUAGUGAAAGGUUAUUGUUCUUGUGCAUGGUACUUCUCAUUAAUAUAAAUACACCAAUGAAGUUUCAUGUUGAAAUCGUGUUAUGUAUCUGAGAUAUAGCCCUUAACAGUUAAUUAAUAUACAAAAAAACAAAGGGCAAUAACUCUUAAUUAAAGGGUUGGUGUAUGGUUUAUUAGCAUGGUACUUCUCCUCACUAAUAUCAAUACAUCCAACAUAUGCAAAGGGAACACUAAGAGUUAACAUUGAUUGCCAUAUCUUCAUGAAAAUGAAUCGGAA